rnacentral:miRNA from 1 species
UUUAUGACGUCGAUAUUCGACGUCAUAAACACGAGCAAGUUUGGUGUUUAUGACGUCGAUAUUCGACGUCAUAAACACCAUCAAGUUUGGUGUUUAUGACGUCGCUAAUCGACGUUAUAAACACCAUCAAGUUUGGUGUUUAUGACGCCGAUAUUCGACGUCAUAAACACGAGCAAGUUUGGUGUUGAUGACGUCGAUAUUCGACGUCAUAAAGAGGAUCAAGUUUGGUGUUGAUGACGAC